AGCAGCCGCGGUAAUUCCAGCUCCAAUAGCGUAUAUUAAAGUUGUUGCAGUUAAAAAGCUCGUAGUUGAAUUUUAGCCCUGGCUUGGGUGGUCCGCCAAUUGGCUGGUACUGCUCCGACUGGGGUUCUCCUUCUGGUGAGCCUGUAUGCUCUUUACUGGGUGUGCAGGUGCGCCAGGACUUUUACUUUGAACAAAU
rnacentral:rRNA from 1 species